GUUCUACCUUGACGAAUUGUAGUUUAAAGAAGUGUUUUCUGUUAGAGGAGUAGCAAAAGUUCCUUGGAAUGGGACAUCAUAGAGGGUGAGAAUCCCGUAUUUGGUUAUUCUUUCUAGCUUUGUGAUACACUUUCAAAGAGUCGGAUUGUUUGGGAAUGCAGUCCAAAAUGGGUGGUAAAUUUCAUCUAAAGCUAAAUAUUGGCGAGAGACCGAUAGCGAACAAGUACCGUGAGGGAAAGAUGAAAAGAACUUUGAAAAGAGAGUUAAACAGUACGUGAAAUUGUCAAAAGGGAAGCGUUUGACACCAGUGUUGUUUUUCCGAAAAUCAAUUAAGAAGGACUUGAUUUUGUGUUGUAUUGACCUUAUCAGCUUUCUUCACUCUUUUUCGAGUCUUUCUU
rnacentral:rRNA from 1 species